AGCGAACGCUGGCGGCGUGCUUAACACAUGCAAGUCGAACGCGCAGCCUUGCUGUAGCAAUACAGCGAGGUGGGCGCGCGGCGCACGGGUGCGUAACACGUGGAUAACCUACCUUCGAGUGGGGAACAACUCCGGGAAACUGGAGCUAAUACCGCAUACGAACUCCUGGACGGAGGUUCGGGAGGGGAAAGCCCGCAAGGGCGCUCGUAGAGGGAUCCGCGCCCGAUCAGCUAGCUGGUGAGGUAACGGCUCACCAAGGCGAAGACCGGUAGCCGGUCUGAGAGGACGACCGGCCACACUGGGACUGAGACACGGCCCAGACUCCUACGGGAGGCAGCAGUGGGGAAUAUUGCGCAAUGGGGGAAACCCUGACGCAGCGACGCCGCGUGGAGGAUGAAGCCCUUCGGGGUGUAAACUCCUUUCGACGGGGACGGAUGUGCGGUUGUUGAAACCGCCUUGACGGUACCCGUAUAAGAAGCCCCGGCUAACUACGUGCCAGCAGCCGCGGUAAUACGUAGGGGGCG
rnacentral:rRNA from 1 species